CAGUUCGGAUUGGAGUCUGNAACCCGACUCCAUGAAGCUGGAUUCGCUAGUAAUCGCGCAUCAGCCACGGCGCGGUGAAUACGUUCCCGGGCCUUGUACACACCGCCCGUCAAGCCAUGGAAGCCGGGAGUGCCUGAAGUGCGUGAGCGCAAGCAGCGCCCUAAGGUAAAACCGGUGACUGGGGCUAAGUCGUAACAAGGUACC
rnacentral:rRNA from 1 species